rnacentral:rRNA from 1 species
AUGGCCUGGAGCUCGAAAGCGCCGAGGCAGUGCCGAUUUUUUGCUUGGCUGGCGGGAAGAAAUAGAUGUUGGACCUCGGACCGUUUAGCUCGCCGCGGCUUGCCCCACCAGGCUGCUUGCCCCUUGUGCGAUCAAGAGCCAGAGACCUUGAAUCAUGUGCUCAUCCAGUGCGUUCUCGCCAGAGUAGUGUGGCACCAGGUGUUUGGUGCGCUCGGUAGACCGGAGCUCACUCCGGAGACCGGCGACGCGGUGGUGGAGUGGUGCAAUGCCUGCGCCCGGAGGGCCCCCUCCAAGAAGGAAGCGAAGGACAUACAGACCAUGGUGUCUCUAGUACUGUGGGAACUUUGGAAGCAUCGGAAUGCGAUAGUUUUUGAAGGGGCGACCCCCUCUGCCAAGGUGGUGAUCGCUAGGGUUGAGAGCGAGGCCCGGGCUUGGAGUGCGGCUGGUCUGCUCAAGGGCGACCUCUCCCCCUUCCUUGGUUCUCUAGCUAGGUGGGUAGCGGGCGAAUAG